GGACCCGCACAAGUAGUGGAGCAUGUGGUUUAAUUCGAAGAUACGCGCAGAACCUUACCAACACUUGACAUGUUCGUCGCGACUUUAAGAGAUUAAAGUUUUCGGUUCGGCCGGACGAAACACAGGUGCUGCAUGGCUGUCGUCAGCUCGUGUCGUGAGAUGUUGGGUUAAGUCCCGCAACGAGCGCAACCCUCACUUUUAGUUGCCACCAUUUAGUUGGGCACUCUGAAAGAACUGCCAGUGAUAAGCUGGAGGAAGGUGGGGAUGACGUCAAGUCCUCAUGGCCCUUACGUGUUGGGCUACACACGUGCUACAAUGGCAUUUACAAUAGGAAGCAAGAUGGCGACAUCAAGCAAAUCCUAAAAAGAUACCUCAGUUCGGAUUGCACUCUGCAACUCGAGUGCAUGAAGCUGGAAUUACUAGUAAUCGU
rnacentral:rRNA from 1 species